rnacentral:tRNA from 2 species
GCCCGGGUGGUGGAAUUGGUAGACACGUUGGACUUAAAAUCCAAUGAACAUUAGUUCGUACGGGUUCAAGUCCCGUCCCGGGUA